rnacentral:pre_miRNA from 1 species
AUCUUACUCCCUCCAUCUCAUAUUAAGUGUCAAAAUAUUACAUGUAUCUAGACGCUUCUUGGUUAUAGAUACAUUCAUAUUUGGACAAGUUUGAGACAAUUAAUAUGGGACAGAGGGAGUAUUAU